GGGCCCGUAGCUCAGCCAGGAAGAGCGCCGGGCUUUUAACCCGGUGGUCCCGGGUUCAAAUCCCGGCGGGCCCG
rnacentral:tRNA from 1 species